UUGCAAACCAGUUCAGCCUAGCCAGGUUAGACUAACCUGCAAAGAUUGAAUCAAUUCAGGCUGUCCCUAUCCAGGAAGGCUCCCGUAUACACUCCUUUCUUCAAUGGGUCAGCCCUGCUUCCUUCCAGCUCCAUUGUUGGUAACAUUAGAGCAGAGCUGAUUUCGCUGCUACUGAAGUGGAACUGAAAUUCUCCCGUGGCUCUGGGAAAUAAACACGGAGGCACGGAGUGGCCCUAGGAGCUGGAAGCCCAGUGCAAAGCGCGGUGUGCCGAGCCUCCAGCGAGCUUAGAUAAUCCUUGCAGCGCAUCUGGAGGUGGGAGGCUUGUUUGCGUUGGUGUGAUAGGCAGCUUAGUGAACUCUACUCUGAAUCAAAAAAUUUUUGAUUUGGCAUUAUUGUACUUUGUGGAGAACACCAGAAUGUCUGCAUGAAAAAUAUAUGCCUCAACAAAACAUUAGUAAUAAGGUGAGUAUUUG
rnacentral:lncRNA from 1 species